GAUUAACGCUAGCGGCAGGCAUAAUACAUGCAAGUUGAACGGCAGCACAGGUAGCAAUACUGGGUGGCGAGUGGCGCACGGGUGCGUAACACGUAUGCAACCUACCCUAUACAGGCGAAUAACCUUUAGAAGUGAGGGCUAAUACGCCGUAGUAUUACAGAUGGGCAUCUAUUUGUAAUUAAAGAUUUAUCGGUAUAGGAUGGGCAUGCGUCCCAUUAGUUAGUUGGUAAGGUAACGGCUUACCAAGACGAUGAUGGGUAGGGGAUCUGAGAGGACUUACCCCCACACUGGUACUGAGACACGGACCAGACUCCUACGGGAGGCAGCAGUAAGGAAUAUUGGGCAAUGGCCGCGAGGCUGACCCAGCCAUGCCGCGUGCAGGAAGACGGCCUUAUGGGUUGUAAACUGCUUUUAUACGGGAAUAAUAGAGUGUACGCGUACAUUUAUGCAAGUAUCGUAUGAAUAAGCAUCGGCUAACUCCGUG
rnacentral:rRNA from 1 species